UACAGAGGGGGCAAGCGUUGUUCGGAAUUACUGGGCGUAAAGGGCGCGUAGGCGGCCUUCUAAGUCGAACGUGAAAUCCCCGGGCUCAACCCGGGAACUGCGUCCGAUACUGGAAGGCUUGAAUCCGGGAGAGGGAUGCGGAAUUCCAGGUGUAGCGGUGAAAUGCGUAGAUAUCUGGAGGAACACCGGUGGCGAAGGCGGCAUCCUGGACCGGUAUUGACG
rnacentral:rRNA from 1 species